rnacentral:rRNA from 1 species
AACGAACGCUGGCGGCAUGCCUAACACAUGCAAGUCGAACGAAGCCUUCGGGCUUAGUGGCGCACGGGUGCGUAACGCGUGGGAAUCUGCCCCUUGCUUCGGAAUAACAGUUAGAAAUGACUGCUAAUACCGGAUGAAGUCUUCGGACCAAAGAUUUAUCGGCAAGGGAUGAGCCCGCGUAGGAUUAGGUAGUUGGUGGGGUAAAGGCCUACCAAGCCGACGAUCCUUAGCUGGUCUGAGAGGAUGAUCAGCCACACUGGGACUGAGACACGGCCCAGACUCCUACGGGAGGCAGCAGUGGGGAAUAUUGGACAAGGGACGCAAGUCUGAUCCAGCAAUGCCGCGUGAGUGAUGAAGGCCUUAGGGUUGUAAAGCUCUUUUACCAGGGAUGAUAAUGACAGUACCUGGAGAAUAAGCUCCGGCUAACUCCGUG